rnacentral:rRNA from 1 species
UUCCGGUUGAUCCUGCCGGAGGCCAUUGCUAUCGGGGUCCGACUCAGCCAUGCUAGUCGUGCGGGUUCAGACCCGCGGCAGACAGCUCAGUAACACGUGGCCAAACUACCCUCUGGACGCGGACACCCUCGGGAAACUGAGGCUAAUCCACGAUACGGCUCCCACGCUGGAAUGCGGGGAGCCGGAAACGCCUCCGGCACCAGAGGAUGUGGCUGCGGCCGAUUAGGUAGACGGUGGGGUAACGGCCCACCGUGCCCAUAAUCGGUACGGGAUGUGAGAGCAAAUAGCCCGGAGAUGGAUUCUGAGACAAGAAUCCAGGCCCUACGGGGCGCAGCAGGCGCGAAACCUUUACACUGCACGCCAGUGCGGUAAGGGGACCCCGAGUGCGAGGGCAUACAGUCCUCGCUUUUGUACACCGUAAGGAGGUGCACGAAUAAGGGCUGGGCAAGACCGGUGCCAGCCGCCGCGGUAAUACCGGCAGCCCGAGUGAUGGCCGCUGUUAUUGGGCCUAAAGCGUCCGUAGCCGGCCGAACAAGUCUGUCGGGAAAUCCAUCUGCCUAACAGAUGGGCGUCCGGCAGAAACUGUUCGGCUUGGGGCCGGAAGAUCCGAGGGGUACGUCCGGGGUAGGAGUGAAAUCCCGUAAUCCUGGACGGACCGCCGGUGGCGAAAGCGCCUCGGAAGGACGGACCCGACGGUGAGGGACGAAAGCUGGGGUCUCGAACCGGAUUAGAUACCCGGGUAGUCCCAGCCGUAAACGAUGAUCGCUAGGUGUGACACAGGCUACGAGCCUGUGCUGUGCCGUAGGGAAGCCGUGAAGCGAUCCGCCUGGGAAGUACGUCCGCAAGGAUGAAACUUAAAGGAAUUGGCGGG